GAAAAUCAAGGCACUACAUGAUUCUAAGCUAAAAGAUAGGACAUUAACAGAAUUUGACCAAGCAAUGACUCUAAACAUAAAGAAAAUUUCUGCAGUAACUUGAAUGAUAAUGCCCCAGAAUCUCAUAUUACUGGGGGGUUCAUGACGUCCCAAUAAUUGGGGGAGGGGAGAACCUCGACUAGUCUCCUUGAUUAGCAUGUCUCAACAUCAGGCCAAUGUGCAACCUUGCAAUUUUUUUUGUUUUGGGAAUAAAUGUUAUAGGGCUUUUAUAUAAUUUAGAGAUGCAACUGAAUAGCAAAAUACUUGGAUAUAUGUGUUUAGUGAAAAAGACUUGUAAGUAGAAAUGAAAAAUUGAAGGCCCCCAAAGGAACAAGAAUAUCGGAAAGUUUCCUUGGUGGUAAGUCCAUAAUCCCCAAAAGUAGUCAUCUCUUAAGUAGAUGACACUGAUUUUGCAGUCCCUAGAUUUAUCUA
rnacentral:misc_RNA from 1 species